rnacentral:rRNA from 1 species
CGCGUAGGCGGUUAUAUAAGUCGGGUGUGAAAGCCCCGGGCUCAACCUGGGAACUGCAUUCGAUACUGUAUAGCUUAAGUUUGGUAGAGGGGAGUGGAAUUCCACAUGUAGCGGUGAAAUGCGUAGAUAUGUGGAGGAACACCAGUGGCGAAGGCGACUCCCUGGCCCAAAACUGACGCUGAGGUGCGAAAGCGUGGGUAGCAAACA